rnacentral:rRNA from 1 species
GACGAACGCUGGCGGCGUGCUUAACACAUGCAAGUCGAACGGUGAAGCGCCUUCCUUUUUGGUGGGUGUGGAUGAGUGGCGAACGGGUGAGUAACACGUGAGUAACCUGCCCCCUCCUGCUGGAUAACCGCAUGAAAGUGUGGCUAAUACGGGAUAUACUGGGUCUGUCGCAUGAUGGGUCUGGGAAAGAUUUUGUUUCGGUUGGGGAUGGGCUCGCGGCCUAUCAGCUUGUUGGUGGGGUGAUGGCCUACCAAGGCGGCGAUGGGUAGCCGCCCUGAGAGGGUGGUGGACGGUCCCGGUGUGGCGGAGCCGCGGCGCCUCCUCCGACGGGCGGCAGCAGGGGAUAUUAUUGCACAGUGGGAGGCAGGCUGAUGCAGCGCCGCCGCGGGGGGGAUGGUGGCCGUCGGGUUGUGAACCUCUUUCGCCAGUGAAGCAGGCCUGACUUGUUUGUGGGUGGGUUGACGGUAGCUAGACAAAAAGCGCCGGCUAACUACGUG